rnacentral:tRNA from 1 species
GGGAAAGUGGUCUAGCUUGGUAUGAUACUUGACUGGGGGUCAAGUGGUCGGGUGUUCGAAUCAUCCCUUUCCCACCA